CAAGCACUCUACCAACUGGGCUGUGUCCCCAGCCCCACACUGAAUAUUUAGAUACAUCUUUGUCGUCUUUUUCUUAUAGUGGGGCUCUCCUGCACCCAGUUAUUUUUUGAUGAUUUGGACAAUUUGAGAGACUGGGUCUGAGAUGGUAACAUCUUCAAUAGGCUGAGAAAGCCCAUGAUACUUGGAAGAUUGUGCAGUGAGCACCAAGCUUGGGGCUUCUCCAGAAGAGUUGGCGUCUCAGGCUUGUUGAUGCAGAAUGGAGACAGGAGCGAGACGGGAGAGCCUGCUGUCCCUUUCUUCUCUGCUUAGUGUCCACAGGAAGGACCCAUCAGAGGGUGACGAGGAGCAGGCUGCCGUCAGUAAGUGGAUGGCCCCUGACUGGAAGAUGGUGCAUUUUCUGUGGACCCACCACUGUCCUCUGUGCAACCAUUCUGGCCUGGUUUCCUCAUCUGUAGGAUGGGAGAGUUCUGUCUUCCUCAUGUAGUUGUGGCGAGUCUAAUUAUUCAGUGCAUGGAAUAGUUAUUGCUGAGACCUUGGUUGUGCCGAGUCAGCCCAGUGUCCCCUGCCCGGCACUUACAGUUCGCUUCUUUGGCGGAGCAUGUUUCGCCCUGGCACCUGCUGCGGUCUCUUCCCCACCAGGGAGGAAGUAGUAGCUCCUGCUAGAGGACACUGCCCCUGGCACCACCGGGCCAAGAAGGGAACAUGUCCUCUGGGAAGGGCUCCGUGUCUGCUCAUCCCUGGCAAUUCUAAAUUUCAAAAAGCCAGAGAUUCUUUUUCAAAAAUUAAUUUAUUUCACUAUGAUCAUAAUCACAAAUUUGAACAAAGCAGAGAAAGGAAACAAGCCCGAACCCCACCUACGUCUUCAAACCCAGAGGUAACAUGGCUGUCCUUGGGGACGCUCUGUCCCCAGGCCCCUGGGCGGAGCCAUCCUGCUUUACUCAGUUACAGGCGGGUGGCCAAAGCGACUUCACCUCCUGCUUCUUUUCACUUAACUGUGUGACGCGUGCUCUGGGCUCCGCAGUCUUUCCACAUUUCAGGAGCCAGUAAGAGUCCACCUGGCUUCACGUUUCUCCCGCUGUCCACCAUUCUUGUGUAAUAAAUACGUUGAUUUUAA